CUGGCUUAUUAGGUUUGUAAAAUUAAAUAGUAGAUUAAAGUUAAGGUAAGAAUGCUUUAAUUUUCUAGGGGACGAUAAGACCCUAGAAGCUUAACAAGAGGAGGUUUCGAUUUGUGUUAGAAGCUAGUUUGUUUUACUGGGGCGGUAAAAGUAGUUAAGCUAUUGGCUAUUUAAAAGAUCCUUUAAAUAAAGAAAGAAUGGGAAAGUUACUCUAGGGAUAACAGUGCAAUAUUUUUGGAGAGAUCUUAUUGAUAAGUAUGUUUGCAACCUCGAUGUUGAAUUAAAGUGUCUUUAUGAAGCAGAAAGCAUAGAAGAAGGUUUGUUCAACCUUUAAAUUUUUACAUGA
rnacentral:rRNA from 1 species